UUGAACUUUCUCCACCUUCAAUAAUUUAGGAAUUUAGGUUUGAGCUAAUUUUGAAUCACAAGUGUGUUUUUCUGCAUCUGAUUAUCAUGUCUGUAUGUUGACUAAUGUUUUUAAAUCUUUGUGUUUAUGAAUCACAAUUGUGUUUAUGCAUUGAUCAAAGAACAACUGGACUGUUUUUUUAAUCUUUGUGUUUAUGGAUCACAAUUGUGUUUAUGCAUUGAUCAAAGUACAACUGGACUGUUUUUUUAAUCUUUGUGUUUAUGAAUCACAAUUGUGUUUAUGCAUUAAUAAAAGAACAACUGGAUUGUUAAACAUUUUGAGGUUUGAACUGUGUUUGUCUGCUGUGAAACCAUUUAAUAAGACUAAUGGUUUCAGUGUAUAACUUAUUGAAACCAUUCCACUGAAAAAAAUGGUUUCAGACUGCUUGUCAAUUAAGAUAUGUAAUGUCUGAAAACCAAAAUGAUUUUUAU
rnacentral:lncRNA from 1 species